CUAGCCCUAACGCCCGUCCGCUUCCGUCGAGCCGCCGAGAGGUCAGGUCCUCGCUCCGCUCCGCUCGUCGCCCCGUCCGUCUCCAUCGAGGACUGCCUCCGCAGAGCUCUUAUUGAUUGCAGGCUGCGGACAUUCCAAAGAAGUUUGCCCCGACCAUUGGCAUUUUUGUGGAUCACCACCACGGGGCGUAAGUCAACUGUGUCGAGGUACAAGGUGGUGAAGUUCGACCUUAGCAAGACGAUUCAGUCCGAGAAGUUCGAAGAUAGGCGUACCUGGGGCAUCUUUGUUGAAGGUCGGAACGCGGUUUCGGUUUUGGUGGCCAUUAACAAUGUAUCCACAUUCAUUCAUGGCCGUAAUUUAGAUUGGCGAUGUGUGGAUACAUUUGAUGAGCAAUACAUGAAAGAUAAAAUCCGUAGUUUGAUCACGGAUAGGCAGCGACUAUCACAGAUACGCAAGGAAGUACAAAGUAUCCCUGAAGAUGACAUGAAAGCAUUUUUUGAUGUGAUUAGUAACAUUCGCAAAUUCACACUCAGUCCACGUUUGACUGGCCCAUCAGCUUUUGAAGUGAAUCAACCAUAUAUGCUACUUUGUCAUCUUUUUACCCCUGUGUUUCAUGGUUGGGUUGUAAGCCCUGAAUUGAGCAGCUAUGAUGCAAUUAAAGGGUUCACUCGUGAUGAGUUGAUACAGUAUUGCAACGCGCUGAUAGCCUUAGAAGGUGAGUCAGACAAUGUGAGAGUUAUUCGAGACUUAUUGAAUGAUUCAGAUCAGCUGCUGACAGCUUAUGGCUUUGAUUGCCUGGUUCAGGAGAUGAGAGAUGACAAGUUUGGAUUAUUUUUUUGGCGUAGCAGAUAUGAUGUAAUUCAUAAGCAUGACGGAGAUCUUUUUUUACUGGUUUCUGAUGAGAGGGUUCGCAGUGAAAUGCCCCAGGCCACUUGGAUGUUAUUUGAACAAUCUCCAGAAAGCAGCAUCUACUUCACAUCAGAAUAUCUACCUGUUGAAAACCAAUACAGUAUUGACAGAGCCAGAGAAUGGCACCAGCAAAAGCUUCAGCAAAAGACUUCGAGCUCGUUAGAGACAGUGAAGAAAGCUAAAAAGAAAAGGAAGAACAAGAAAUCAGCAAUGGCGAGCAAAGAAAUACCUGAACAAGGUGGUCCGAAUGUUGAAGAUGUGGUUGUUGCUGUCAGUAUCAGUGCUGAGCUUCGAAAUGAAGGUCAACCAACAACAACAAGGGAGAUGGACAAUCCUAAACAAGGUGGUCUGAAUGUUGAAGAUGUGGUUGCUGCUGUUAGUGUCAGUGAUGAACCAACAAGGGAGAUAUUUAACUAAUCAAACUUACAAGACCUAAUGUAGCAGAUCCUCAUCCUAAAUAUUUGUAUUUUUUGUUCAGCAUUUCUGCAGAUUUGAAGGAAGCGGCUGUUAAGUAUCUGACAAUGAACGGAUUGGACUCUGUUGAUGUUGAGUUGAAAAUAAUCGGUCUCCCUGAGCCGAAAAGGUUGGCCUGUUGACAAAAUUGAUAAAAGUCCAUUGUGAUUAAUGAUGUACAUGGUGAUAAAAUUGUUUGUUAGACAAAUUGAUAAAAGUCCAUUGUGAUUAAUACGAUGCACAUGGUGAU
rnacentral:misc_RNA from 1 species